UGUGAAUGUGGGAUUGAGUCGCAAGUUUGGAAAACUAUCUUCCGACAUGAUGCUUCACACGGUCUUCAGUCUGGAUUGUUUUUCAAGCUUGUGACACUGUCCCACGUACACA